UACGAAGGGGGCUAGCGUUGUUCGGAAUUACUGGGCGUAAAGCGCGCGCAGGCGGCUCUUCAAGUCAGGGGUGAAAGCCCAGAGCUCAACUCUGGAACUGCCUUUGAGACUGAAGAGCUUGAGUACGGGAGAGGUGAGUGGAAUUCCCAGUGAUAGAGGUGAAAUUCGUAGAUAUUGGGAAGAACACCGGUGGCGAAGGCGGCUCACUGGCCCGUUACUGACGCUCAGGCGCGACAGCGUGGGGGAUCAAACAGG
rnacentral:rRNA from 1 species